CAGUUUGUCAGGACGUUUCCUUUUGCUUUUCAGAGAAAUUGCAUUUUAAUUCCUGUGUAAUGAUUUCUCCUGUUCUCAAAGCAAAGAGAAAGGAUGGAUGCAAAAAAAAAAAAUCUCAUUUUAUGAAAUGUUAAGCUAUUCUUGGAACAAGCUUCACCUUGCUUUCCUUCUGUAGGACAAACUCUUGUCCCCUGCGCGCCUCGGAGGUCCAGCUGAGGGUUUUCUACCUCACACUGUGCAUAUUGCACAGCAAGAUAGAAAGUCUUGUUUAUAUUAAACAGCUUAUUUAUGUAUCAAUAUUAGUUGGAAGGACCAGGCGCUGAGCCUCUCUCCAUAACAUGUGACUCUGUCAAUUGAAGACAGGACAGGAAAAAAAAAAAAAAAAAAAACAGUUCAGAUUACUUACUGCACAUGUGGGUAAAAACAAAAAAUAAAAAAUAAAAAGGAGUGGUUCAAAAUGCCAUUUUUGCACAGUGUUAGGAAUUGUUCACAGAUGUUACUUGCACACAAAAAAUAAAUAUUUUUAAUGGCGUCGGGAGGGGGCAGAUCUUAAAAACUAAAAUAACACUUAAAUUCAACUUCUGUUGUCUGUUAUGUUAUUGAGCUAAUGAAUUAUUGGGAAAAUGCCUUUUUAUACUCUUUUAUCAUGGUACUGUAACUGUAUCCAUAUUAUAAAUAUAAUUAUCUUACGAAUUUUUUAUUAUUUUUUUAUGUCCAAGUGCCCACGUGAAUCUGCUGGUAAAAUUUAGCACUUGUGUAUAAAUUCUAUUUCCUCUGUGUUUUUCCAAGUAUUUAUACUCUGGUGCAACUAACUACUGUGUGAAGAAUUGGUCCAUGUGCAAUAAAUACCAAUGAAGCACAAUCAAGAUCAUGUACUGUGAGUCUGUACCGGGUCAGUGAUAAUGAAAAAGACAGUUUGUUUUGUUUUAAAGUGUAGACUGGAUUUCUCAUAGAGCUCUUUUAAUAGCUUUUCAUGACUCAAUAACAGCAAAAUGCCUGUACCAAAUAAGGCGUUCACCUACUGAGCGCUGCAGAUUUGCCCUCAGUCUUCCCAGCCAGAUCCAAGGUAUUGCAGACUAUCUGUAGGCGCUCCCAAGAUCUGCUGCACUUGACUUAAGAAGUGACAUUUGCGAUGGUGUGUCUUCUGCAAACAAUCAGAAAACCCAGUGGAUCCAGGUAACUUAGCUGCAGCUGCCACACAGAAACGCAGGAAAGAAGACUAACUACCAGUUGCCUACCAGUUGCCUACUUGAAAUUCGGUUCUUCUGUUCUUCGUUGAUGGCGCUCUGUGCUGAGUGCUGUAGGAGACACACCCAGCCUGACACUCUGAGACAUCCACCUGUGAGAUGUGACAGGCAAGUGUGAUGGAAUGCCAGACGUAUGGGCUAGCGGUAAGGACUCUAAGCCAGCACUAUCCAACAGAAACAGAAGUUUCAGAGCUGACCCAGAGAAGCCAAGCAGGUUUCAGAGUGCCUAAGGCUAAGGCCGGUUUUAGAGAUUUCAUUCCAUGAUCCACUGGACCUGAUGCUUUUGAGCCUGCGGGGAGCCAGCACAUCAUGGAGGGAGCAUCAGUGCCUGGAAAUGAAAGGGAGAGCCCAGGAUCCCACAGUCCCCUCAGGCACCAUGAUCUGAAGACCUUCCACCGGGCGCCAUCUCGUGAAGUUUCCACCACUUCCCAGCAGUGCCGAGCUGGGAACCCAGCCUUUUACUUCAUGAACCUUUUUUUCCAGAUCCAAACUUACAGCAAGGCCUAAUUAGACCUGUGCACUACAAGAAGAUGUGGCAUAACCUUCUGUCGUCUUUGAAAUUCCAGGUACUCACCACCUGGCCUAAAGAACAGUUUCUCCCAGAAAGGUGUUAGGCCUGAAACUGCAGCGCACCGGGGCACACUGCUGGUGUCAUAGGAAACGAGGUGGUUGUUUUCCAGAUAUUUCUAGGAAAUGAGUUUAUUUCUAGAAAUGGCACAUGGGUUGCUGGAAUUCUGCACCUGAGCAACAUGAAUUUAGCUGAGUAGGAAAAUGUACAUCUUUAUUCUUGAAAAACAAGCACUUCAGUGACAUUGUUAAAUGAAAACUACGUGUUCUGGGUUCUAGGUCAGUUGUCAAUAAAUAAAAUAUCUGACUUCUUUGUCACA